CCUACGGGAGGCUGCAGUGGGGAAUAUUGCACAAUGGGGGGAACCCUGAUGCAGCGACGCCGCGUGAGUGAAGACGUAUUUCGGUAUGUAAAGCUCUAUCAGCAGGGAAGAAAAUGACGGUACCUGACUAAGAAGCCCCGGCUAACUACGUGCCAGCAGCCGCGGUAAUACGUAGGGGGCAAGCGUUAUCCGGAUUUACUGGGUGUAAAGGGAGCGUAGACGGUUAUGCAAGUCUGAAGUGAAAGCCUGAGGCUCAACCAUGGGACUGCUAUGGAAACUGUAAAACUGGAGUGCAGGAGAGGUAAGCGGAAUUCCUAGUGUAGCGGUGAAAUGCGUAGAUAUUAGGAGGAACACCAGUGGCGAAGGCGGCUUACUGGACUGUAACUGACGUUGAGGCUCGAAGGCGUGGGGAGCAAACAGGAUUAGAUACCCUAGUAGUC
rnacentral:rRNA from 1 species